UACGGAGGGAGCAAGCGUUACUCGGAAUUAUUGGGCGUAAAGGGCGCGUAGGCGAUCUGAAAAGUUCUGUGUGAAAGCCCACAUGUUAACUGUGGAAGUGCACAGAAAACUGUUGGAUUUGAGUUCAGGAGAGGAAGGCAGAAUUCCCGGUGUAGCGGUGAAAUGCGUAGAGAUCGGGAGGAACAUCUGUGGCGAAGGCGGCCAUCUGGACCAGCACUGACACUGAGGCACGAAAGCGUGGGGAGCAAACAGG
rnacentral:rRNA from 1 species